CCCACACUCCUGAGCUAGAGGGAAAAGGAAGUUAAAGCCUGGACUCCACUGCCCUGGGCCCAUCGCUGUCUUCUGUGCUGAACGAGCUGCCCAGUGCUGCCACCCUUCGGUACCGAGACCCUGGGGUGCUGCCUUGGGGGGCGCUGGAGGAGGAGGAGGAGGAUGGAGGAAGGAGCAGAAAGGCCUUCACAGAAGUCACCCAGACAGAGCUGCAGGACCCUCACCCUUCCCGGGAACUGCCCUGGCCCAUGCAGGCCAGACGGGCACACAGCAAAGAAAUGCCAGCAGGGACCAGGUGGUCUAUGGCUCUGGAACUAAG
rnacentral:lncRNA from 1 species